rnacentral:rRNA from 1 species
AACGUAGGUUCCGAGCGUUAUCCGGAUUUACUGGGCGUAAAGCGCGUUCAGACGGUUUGGCAAGUCGGGCAUGAAAUCUCUCGGCUCAACCGGGAGAGGUUGUCCGAUACUGCUGGACUUGAGGGCAGUAGAGGGUGGUGGAAUUCCGGGUGUAGUGGUGAAAUGCGUAGAUAUCCGGAGGAACACCAGUGGCGAAAGCGGCCACCUGGACUGCACCUGACGCUGACACGCGAAAGCUAGGGGAGCGAACGGG